rnacentral:rRNA from 1 species
AUUGAACGCUGGCGGCAGGCUUAACACAUGCAAGUCGAACGAGUGGCGGACGGGUGAGUAAUGCUUGGGACUCUAGCUUAUGGAGGGGGAUAACUACGGGAAACUGUAGCUACUACCGCGUACCACAGGAUGAGCUCAAGUUGGAUUAGGUAGUUGGGGAGGUAAAGGUUCACCAAGACGACGAUCUCUAGCUGGUCUGGGAGGAUGACCAGCCACACUGGGACUGAGACACGGCCCAGACUCCUACGGGAGGCAGCAGUGGGGAAUAUUGCGCAAUGGGGGCAACCUGACGCAGCCAUGCCGCGUGAAUGAAGAAGGUCUUCGGGUUGUAAAGUUCUGUCGGUAGCGAGGCGUUAACUACAGAAGAAGCACCGGCUAACUCCGUGCCAGCAGCCGCGGUAAGCC